UACGUAGGUGGCAAGCGUUGUCCGGAAUUAUUGGGCGUAAAGCGCGCGCAGGCGGUCCUUUAAGUCUGAUGUGAAAGCCCACGGCUCAACCGUGGAGGGUCAUUGGAAACUGGGGGACUUGAGUGCAGAAGAGGAGAGUGGAAUUCCACGUGUAGCGGUGAAAUGCGUAGCGAUGUGGAGGAACACCAGUGGCGAAGGCGACUCUCUGGUCUGUAACUGACGCUGAGGCGCGAAAGCGUGGGGAGCGAACAGG
rnacentral:rRNA from 1 species